rnacentral:snRNA from 2 species
GGCGCUUCUCGGCCUUAUGGCUAAGAUCAAAGUGUAUUAUCUGUUCUUAUCAGCUUAACCUUUUGUCUUAAUGCACAAUGGCAGUUCCGUACCAUGACUUCCU